rnacentral:rRNA from 1 species
GACGAACGCUGGCGGCGUGCUUAACACAUGCAAGUCGAACGGAAAGGCCCUGCUUUUGUGGGGUGCUCGAGUGGCGAACGGGUGAGUAACACGUGAGUAACCUGCCCUUGACUUUGGGAUAACUUCAGGAAACUGGGGCUAAUACCGGAUAGGAGCUCCUGCUGCAUGGUGGGGGUUGGAAAGUUUCGGCGGUUGGGGAUGGACUCGCGGCUUAUCAGCUUGUUGGUGGGGUAGUGGCUUACCAAGGCUUUGACGGGUAGCCGGCCUGGGAGGGUGACCGGCCACAUUGGGACUGAGAUACGGCCCAGACGCCUACGGGAGGCAGCAGUGGGGAAUAUUGCACAAUGGGCGGAAGCCUGAUGCAGCAACGCCGCGUGCAGGAUGACGGCCUUCGGGUUGUAAACCGCUUUCGCCUGUGACGAAGCGUGAGUGACGGUAAUGGGUAAAGAAGCACCGGCUAACUACGUG